GCCCUAGUAACGGCGAGUGAAGCGGCAACAGCUCAAAUUUGAAAGCUAGCCUUCGGGUUCGCAUUGUAAUUUGUAGAGGAUGAUUUGGGGAAGCCGCCUGUCUAAGUUCCUUGGAACAGGACGUCAUAGAGGGUGAGAAUCCCGUAUGUGACAGGAAAUGGCACCCUAUGUAAAUCUCCUUCGACGAGUCGAGUUGUUUGGGAAUGCAGCUCUAAAUGGGAGGUAAAUUUCUUCUAAAGCUAAAUAUUGGCGAGAGACCGAUAGCGCACAAGUAGAGUGAUCGAAAGAUGAAAAGCACUUUGGAAAGAGAGUUAAAAAGCACGUGAAAUUGUUGAAAGGGAAGCGCUUGCAAUCAGACUUGUUUAAACUGUUCGGCCGGUCUUCUGACCGGUUUACUCAGUUUGGACAGGCCAGCAUCAGUUUCGGCGGCCGGAUAAAGGCUCUGGGAAUGUGGCCUCCACUUCGGUGGAGGUGUUAUAGCCCAGGGUGUAAUACGGCCAGCCGGGACUGAGGUCCGCGCUUCGGCUAGGAUGCUGGCGUAAUGGUUGUAAGCGACCCGUCUUGAAACACGGACCAAGGAGUCUAACAUCUAUGCGAGUGUUGGGGGUGGA
rnacentral:rRNA from 1 species